GUGCUUGCUUCAGCAGCACAUAUACAAAAAUUGGAAUAAUACAGAGAAGAUUAGAAUGUCCCCUUUGCAAGAAUGACAUGGAAUUCGUGAAACAUUCAUAUUUUUA
ensembl:snRNA U6 U6 spliceosomal RNA